AGAUUGAACGCUGGCGGCAGGCCUAACACAUGCAAGUCGAGCGGUAGAGAGGUGCUUGCACCUCUUGAGAGCGGCGGACGGGUGAGUAAUGCCUAGGAAUCUGCCUAGUGGUGGGGGAUAACGUUCGGAAACGGACGCUGAUACCGCAUACGUCCUACGGGAGAAAGCGGGGGACCUUCGGGCCUCGCGCCAUUAGAUGAGCCUAGGUCGGAUUAGCUAGUUGGUGAGGUAAUGGCUCACCAAGGCGACGAUCCGUAACUGGUCUGAGAGGAUGAUCAGUCACACUGGAACUGAGACACGGUCCAGACUCCUACGGGAGGCAGCAGUGGGGAAUAUUGGACAAUGGGCGAAAGCCUGAUCCAGCCAUGCCGCGUGUGUGAAGAAGGUCUUCGGAUUGAAAGCAUUUAAGUUGGAGAAGGUUGUAACUUAAUACGUUGCAAUUUGACUUACGACAGAAUAAGCAACCGGCUAACUCGUGCCAGCAGCCGUACG
rnacentral:rRNA from 1 species